rnacentral:miRNA from 1 species
AGUUUUUGGAAGAGAUAUUGCCACCCUUUCUAGUCCCUAUUAGUCUAGGAAGGAUGGCAAUACCUCUUCCAAAAUCU